AUUUCUUGCCCCUAUAUAAUCAAAGUAUAUUCACCUAUUUGUUCUUUAACUUGUUUUUGAUCUGUCAUUUUUGUUGUAUUUUUCUUACCAAACGAGUGCUAAUAAAAAGUUAAUGGACAGUACCCAGAUAUCCAGAGAUUUAAUAAAGUAAAUUUCCAAGAUCCAUAUUGAGCUCUAUGAUGUGAUUGAGGAGAAGCAGAAAGCAGCAGAGACACAGGCUGAAGGGCUCAUCAAAGAGCUGGAGGAGGAAAUCACUGAUCUACAGAAGAGAAGCGGUGCUCUGGAGCAGCUGUCACACACCGAGGACCACGUCUACCUCAUACAGAGCUGAAAGAGAUGCAACAAUAUGCAGGUGGGUGUGAAUCAUUGUGACUAUUCACAUUUUUGGCUCUAAACUUCUGACCCACUGGAAUUGUGAUACAAUGAAGUGUAAGUGAAAUAAUCUGUCUGUAAACAAUUGUUGUAAACAUUACUUGUGUCAUGCACACAUUUAUUGUCCUAACUUACUUGCCAAAACUAUAGUUUCUUAAAACUUCCUUGUGAUAGGGGAAAGUAUUUUCACUUUUGGAUGAAUUCUGUGCCCAUAGUGAACUGCCUCCUUGUUAGGAAUUUUAUGAAAUGACUAAACAAUGUGUACAUUUAAAUAAACUAUAACUAAUUAAACUCUAGCCUGUUUUACAAUAUCUGAUUAAAACCUGUUAGGGAUAGGGGGCAGCAUUUUCACUUCGGAUGAAUUGCGUGCCCAUAGUGAACUGCAUCCUACUCUGUCGUAGAUGCUAAUAUAUGCAUAUUAUUUAUUACUAUUGGAUAGGAAACACUCUGGAGUUUCUAAAACUGUUUGAAUUAUGUCUGUGAGUAUAACAGAACUCAUAUGACAGGCAAAAACCUGAGGACAAAUCCAAACAGGAAUUAAGAAUUCUGAGACUGGUCGAUGUUCA
rnacentral:lncRNA from 13 species